UUUGGUGAGGUGCUCUGUGAGCUGAGUUCUGGUUGAUGGAAAUCAAAAAGGGGAAAAAAAACACUGCUGGAAAGAACAGUGAAGAACAAGACAAAGGUGAGAAUGUUAUCCUGGGAAUAUCAAGGCAGACAGCCUAUAAAUACAUCCACAUUUUGCAAGAGACUUUUAACAAGUGGUGAACACUGAGAAAUGACACUAAAAAUGAAAGAUAUCUGCUUCAAUGCUCUCUGCAGAGCACACAACACUCCAGGAACAGCCUCUAAAUUAGACUGCCUGGUUUAAUUUUUGGAUAUAGCUUGUGAUCAAGAGAAAAAUGGAUGAGCACAGCUGGAAGAAGUCCAGCUGACUGGGUUAAAGAGUGCAGAUGACAGAUGUUAACUGGAGUGCACCACACUUUGCUUUCCUCAGCCUCUGCACAACUUAACCUUUCAGAGUGCCCAGCUGUGUGAGGGCUGUGACACCUGCAGUGCACAUCAGGCCUGGUGGCCACACAAAUUCAUCCCAGCUCCACAGAAAUGAGCCAUUCAGGUACACAAAGUCCAUCCAGUACUGCCUGUGACAAUUCCUCAAAGCCAGAGCACCUUCACGAGCCACACCAGCGGCCAAGUGCCAGAGAAGAGCUCCCAGUUUCUCUGCACUAACAGGAAAAAAAAAUAAAGAAGCUGACUAGAAAGAGCAGAUAAUGAGGCCCAGGGCUUGGAAGGAGAUAGAUUUAACAUUUAACUAAAACCACAACAUCCUAAACACAUUAAAGGUCUCUACUAAGUGGCAGGGAACAUUCUGAAGUGCUGCAGCGUUGGGCAAUGACCUGAAGAAACCUUUGUGUGUUACAGCCUCCUGAGUGAAUCUGACAUGGGCUGAGCUUGUAACUACAAACUAAUCUAUUUGCUUUCAUUCUGGUAAAACUAAUCAUCCUGGUAAGGCAGUAAAUAAGAUUUCCUGAGCAUAAGGUGGAUGCACAGCUCACCUCCAAGGUUUUACAGCACAGCUCUAACUCAGAGAUAAACAAGCAAGUUGCUUAGAAAGGAAAGAAGUUCAAUUAAUUAGACUAAAUGCUUUAUUUCUCAUUAAUACGAAAGAUGUAGAAAGACCUCCUGUCCUGAGGCAAAAGGAGUGACAACAGAAAAUUGUGCAUUCUAGCUGCUGGGUUUAUUUCCAUGGGAGAUCUCUACCCCCACAAAGAUGUUGACCUUUAGCUACAUCAUUGUCAUUUUCACAUGAUUUUACAGUAAAUAAAAUACAAGAAAUUUUCAGUUGUGUACAAACAGAUGUAACACUUUCUACUUCAUGUCUUCAAUACAGUGGGGCAAUGGGAAUAAGUCUUUUUCCCUACAU